GACGAACGCUGGCGGCGUGCUUAACACAUGCAAGUCGAACGAAGUGGCGAACGGGUGAGUAAUACGUGGGUAACUGCCCUCCUUUUUGGGAUAAGCCUUGGAAACGGGGUCUAAUACCGAAUAAGGGGGAUGGACUCGCGUCCUAUCAGCUUGUUGGUGGGGUAGUGGCCUACCAAGGCGACGACGGGUAGCCGGCCUGGGAGGGCGACCGGCCACAUUGGGCUGAGAUACGGCCCAAACGCCUACGGGAGGCAGCAGGGGGGAAUAUUGCACAAUGGGGGAAACCCUGAUGCAGCAACGCGCGUGCGGGAUGACGGCCUUCGGGUUGUAAACCGCUUUCAGCCAUGACGCGGUAGUGGCAGAAGAAGCACCGGCUAACUACGUGCCAGCAGCCGCAGUAAUAC
rnacentral:rRNA from 1 species